rnacentral:rRNA from 1 species
GACGAACGCUGGCGGCGUGCCUAACACAUGCAAGUCGAACGCGAAAGGUCCUUCGGGCGUUAGUAGAGUGGCGGACGGGUGAGUAACGCGUGGGAAUCUGCCCAGUAGUGGGGGAUAACUCGGGGAAACUCGAGCUAAUACCGCAUACGCCCUACGGGGAAAGGCGUUCGGCCGCUAUUGGAUGAGCCCGCGUCAGAUUAGCUAGUUGGUAGGGUAAUGGCCUACCAAGGCGACGAUCCGUAGCUGGUCUGAGAGGACGAACAGCCACACUGGGACUGAGACACGGCCCAGACUCCUACGGGAGGCAGCAGUGGGGAAUAUUGGACAAUGGGCGAAAGCCUGAUCCAGCAAUGCCGCGUGUG